rnacentral:piRNA from 1 species
UGUAUUUAAGUUCCCAGAAAU